GCGGAGCGGGAGCCGCUGUGGGGGCGCCCGGGAAGGCCGUUGGGGGGCGCCCGGCGAGGCCGGCGGGGGUCGGCGUCCCGGCUCUGUACCCAGUCCGCCGGAGGUGAGCCGCGUUUGCUACUCCGGGUCCCGAUUCCCGAAAGGGGCCUGUGGGGCCCCAUGUCCUCGGUGCCUUCCCUUCCCACAGGCUCCAGGUUGAUGUCAAAGUCUUGUGUCUGUGCGGUAGGUCUGGCGUAUUCUGACAGGACACAGUGAGCGUCUGUAGAGGAGAGGCUUGAAAUAAAGGAGCACGAAUAUUGCCUGGAUUUCUGGAGGCCUACUUUAAGGCUGGCCAAUUCUGCAAGAAAGGCAAGGAGGAGGAGACUGGCUCACAGCUCUGGAGGACCCCCUUCUGUCAGCUGUGGGGCUUGACACCACUUGA
rnacentral:lncRNA from 1 species